UAACUCUCCUAACCGUUGGUCUCUAAUUUCUACUCACUGAAAAUGCUUCGCAAAACUCCAAAAUAUGUGAGGAAGAGGAAGGUGUUCAAAGGAGAUCAAUACCAGAUAUUACAGAAGAGUAACAUGAAUGCUGGAGAGGUGCCAGAAGAACUAACAGCUAAUUCAGAGAUCGAGGAAGCUUUCCCUAAAUAAGUGUUUGGACAGCCCUAUUUUUGGCCCUGGUCCCACAUGUGAAGAUCCGCGUCAUUAGUGGCCCACAACUUGCAGCUGCUUUGCAAAAGGCUCACGUGUGUCUUGGAGGGCAUCUCAUUCCUCUGGAGAAUUUGUCAAAGAGGAAUGAAUGGGUUGAACUGCGCCAUGGUCCUUGGUUGCUUCAUUUGCAAGAAGGAGAGGACAUUCUCUUCAUCAGAAAAUGAAUGCGAAGGACGUGGAAAGUCUGCAGAAAUAAACCGCAGAGCUACUUUGGCAGCAACGGAGGUUGGUUUGGCAUGGGAUAGCUUGUACGUGCGACUUGCUGACCAUCCUCGGAACAGCCCCACUAGUCGAAGCCCCUAGCUACAACAGGCACAUAGCCACUUUAUCUUCCUUAUCCCAAGAGACCAGUAAGGAUCAGAAGAAGAAGGUGGCAGCAUGCCUACGUCAAAGGGCCAUGGACAAGGAUCUGACCAUCAGGGAAAAUUAUUAUGUGGACGUGGCAGUGCCCUACGAUGGAACAUGGCAUAGACGAGGUUACACAUCGAAUCAUGGGGUGGGGGUAGUGAUACCGAUCGAUACAUGUAAACAGUUUGAGUAUAGAAAGGGUUGGGUCUUCAGUGUUCUCAGCCAGAGGGACCUUGAUCGCCUUCAGAGACUCCAAAACUGAGCAGCAAGGCUCGUCUUUUCUGCUCCUCUUCGAACUCACAUACAACCUCUUUGACUUGAACUUCAUUGUACAUGUUUAUACAAUGUUUUAGAACAUUUCUGUGCUGCAACUCAGUGCCUUAGUUUUUAUUGUACAUGUUUAUAUAUUUUUAACUUGCCUUUCAUUUUAGUCAUGUUUACAUACACACUAUAUAUGACAUUUUAGUUAUUUAGAGGAACUAGGGUGAUAUAUAUGUGGGUAUUUAGUACACAUUAGUAGAAUAAGUCCAAGUAAUAUGUGUUGCAAUUAUGAACUUGCCUUUCAUUUUAGUUUGUAGUGUACAUGUUUAUGUGAUAUAUUUUUUACUUGCCUUUUAUUUUAGUUUUUAGCAUAUGUACAUGCAUACAACUUUUGAUAUAAACCAAAUACAUCCUGCCACUUUCAUUCAA